rnacentral:rRNA from 1 species
GACCAAGAAGUCUAACAUGUGUGCAAGUCAUUGGGUAUUGUUUGUUGAAACCUAAAGGCAUAAUUAAAAUAACUAUUUUUAAUGGGAUUACAAGUGAUUUUUAUAUUAGAUUACUUCUCCAUCCCGGGGCGUUCUAUACGAACAUGAUUAAAGCAAUUUGAUCCUCUGUUCAAGAGCGUACCUUGAGCAUACAUGCUGUGACCCGAAAGAUGGUGAACUAUACCUGAUCAGGUUGAAGUCAGGGGAAACCCUGAUGGAGGACUGAAGCAGUUCUGACGUGCAAAUCGAUUGUCAGAAUUGGGUAUAGGGGCGAAAGACCAAUCGAACCAUCUAGUAGCUGGUUCCCUCCGAAGUUUCCCUCAGGAUAGCUGGUGCAAUGAUUAUUCUACAUAUAUAAUCUUAUCUGGUAAAGCGAAUGAUUAGAGGCCUUGGGGCCGAAACGACCUCAACCUAUUCUCAAACUUUAAAUGGGUAAGAACCUCAUCUUUCUUGAUCUGAAGAUAUAGAGGUUUAGAUAUAUUGUGCCCAGUGGGCCACUUUUGGUAAGCAGAACUGGCGCUGUGGGAUGAACCAAACGUGAUGUUACGGCGCCAAAAUUAAUGACUCAUAUUGAUACCAUGAAAGGCGUUGGUUGCUUAAAACAGCAGGACGGUGGACAUGGAAGUCGUAAUCCGCUAAGGAGUGUGUAACAACUCACCUGCCGAAGCAACUAGCCCUUAAAAUGGAUGGCGCUCAAGUCAUAUGCCUAUACAUCACCGCUAGAAUAAAAAAAUAUAUAUAUAAUUUAUUAUUAUAUAUUUAUCAAAUUCUAGUGAGUAGGAGGGUACAAUGGUGUGCGCAGAAGUGUUUGGCGUGAGCCUGCAUGGAGCCGCCAUUGGCACAGAUCUUGGUGGUAGUAGCAAAUAAUCGAAUGAGAUCUUGGAGGACUGAAGUGGAGAAGGGUUUCGUGUGAACAGUGGUUGAUCACGAGUUAGUCGGUCCUAAGCUCUAUGCGAAAGCUGUUUAAUUUAUGUUAUUAUAUUAUUAUUAUUUACAUAAUUUAUAUAAGAGCGAAAGGGAAUACGGUUCCAAUUCCGUAACCUGUUGAGUAUACGUUUGUUUAUUAAAAAUGGGUCUCUAAACCACUCAUCAUGGUAACAUGAACAACCAUAGAGAAGCCUUCGAGAGAUACUGGAAGAGUUUUCUUUUCUGUUGAACAAUCGUAUCACCAUGGAAGUCUUUCACAGAGAGAUAUGGUGAAUGGAUUGGAAGAGCAUGACAUUUACUGUUGUGUCAGUAUUUUCUCCUUGGACCUUGAAAAUCUAUGGUGGGGCCACGCAAACUUCUCAACAGACCGUACCGAUAUCCGCAG